UACCUGCAGUCGAACGGAAACAUGUCUAGCUUGCUAGAUGAUGUCGAGUGGCGGACGGGUGAGUAAUGCUUGGGAACUUGCCUUUGCGAGGGGGAUAACAGUUGGAAACGACUGCUAAUACCGCAUAAUGUCUUCGGACCAAACGGGGCUUCGGCUCUGGCGCAAAGAGAGGCCCAAGUGAGAUUAGCUAGUUGGUGAGGUAAAGGCUCACCAAGGCAACGAUCUCUAGCUGUUCUGAGAGGAAGAUCAGCCACACUGGGACUGAGACACGGCCCAGACUCCUACGGGAGGCAGCAGUGGGGAAUAUUGCACAAUGGGGGAAACCCUGAUGCAGCCAUGCCGCGUGUGUGAAGAAGGCCUUCGGGUUGUAAAGCACUUUCAGUUGUGAGGAAAAGUUAGUAGUUAAUACCUGCUAGCCGUGACGUUAACAACAGAAGAAGCACCGGCUAACUCCGUGCCAGCAGCCGCGGUAAUACGGAGGGUGCGAGCGUUAAUCGGAAUUACUGGGCGUAAAGCGCACGCAGGCGGUUUGUUAAGCUAGAUGUGAAAGCCCCGGGCUCAACCUGGGACGGUCAUUUAGAACUGGCAGACUAGAGUCUUGGAGAGGGGAGUGGAAUUCCAGGUGUAGCGGUGAAAUGCGUAGAUAUCUGGAGGAACAUCAGUGGCGAAGGCGACUCCCUGGCCAAAGACUGACGCUCAUGUGCGAAAGUGUGGGUAGCGAACAGGAUUAGAUACCCUGGUAGUCCACACCGUAAACGCUGUCUACUAGCUGUUUGUGACUUUAAGUCGUGAGUAGCGAAGCUAACGCGAUAAGUAGACCGCCUGGGGAGUACGGCCGCAAGGUUAAAACUCAAAUGAAUUGACGGGGGCCCGCACAAGCGGUGGAGCAUGUGGUUUAAUUCGAUGCAACGCGAAGAACCUUACCUACACUUGACAUGUUGAGAAUUACC
rnacentral:rRNA from 1 species